CCUGAAUUGACAAGACAAAAUGUCCACUUCACUGAAGCCACCUUACUGUGAGAAAGCCCAAAUUAGCCGAGAACACAUGCAGAGGUCCUGAGGAUGUGAGGAUGUACAAAGAGAGCUCCCAUAGUGGAAGAUGCAGAAGAAGGCCUACUGUAUGCUGCACACAUGGUGGUUUGUGUCACAGAGAUAUACAAACGUUGAACUCCUGCUUUUCCAAAUGAAACCAGCAAAGGGCCUGGAACUGAUGACUGAUGUUAUAGGAGGAUAUCAAUGGGUAUCUAGAAACAGGAAAUAUGGAACUUUGGACAAUCGUGACCUCGGAACAAAUUGCUGCACUGCUACUUUUCACAAAGGAAAAAAAAUCUAAUAAACAACUUAUUAACAGAA